rnacentral:rRNA from 1 species
GGACCCGCACAAGUAGUGGAGCAUGUGGUUUAAUUCGAAGAUACGCGCAGAACCUUACCAACACUUGACAUGUUCGUCGCGACUUUAAGAGAUUAAAGUUUUCGGUUCGGCCGGACGAAACACAGGUGCUGCAUGGCUGUCGUCAGCUCGUGUCGUGAGAUGUUGGUUAAGUCCCGCAACGAGCGCAACCCUCACUUUUAGUUGCCAUCAUUUAGUUGGGCACUCUGAAAGAACUGCCAGUGAUAAGCUGGAGGAAGGUGGGGAUGACGUCAAGUCCUCAUGGCCCUUACGUGUUGGGCUACACACGUGCUACAAUGGACGGUACAGCGGGAAGCCACCACGCAAGUGGGCG